rnacentral:tRNA from 1 species
GCAUUGGUUGUUCAGUGGUAAUUCUCGCCUGCCACGCGGGAGGACCGGGGGUUCGAUUCCCCGCCAAUGCA